UCUUUCCGACCCGUCUUGUAACACGGACCAAGGAGUCUAGCGUGCGCGCGAGUCGCGGGGUAUCCGAGGAGUAGUAGUCGUUUCGGCGGCGAACGCUCCUCGUCACGAUACGAAACCCGUGUACGUACGUUGUGCGAAGGCGUAAUGAAAGUGAAAGGCGGCG
rnacentral:rRNA from 1 species